rnacentral:lncRNA from 1 species
ACAAUUCGCUAUGCCACCAAACACGCAGUAUAAUCAAUUUGGAGAGCCAACAGGUUUCACAGGAUACAACAUGAAUCCGUAUCAAUAUCCUUAUGUUCCUGCAGGACAGGUGAGAGAUCAGAGAUUGCUACGUUUGUGUUCCUCAGCAACUAAAGAGGCAAGAAAAAAACGGAUGGCUAGACAGCGGAGGUUCUUGUCUCACCACCACAGACAUAACAACAACAACAACAAUAAUCAGCAGAACCAGACCCAAAUCGGAGAGACCUGUGCCGCCGUGGCUCCACAACUUAACCCUGUGGCCACAACCGCCACCGGAGGGACCUGGAUGUAUUGGCCUAAUGUCCCGGCUGCGCCGCCGCCUCAAUUACCACCGGCGAUGGAGACUCAGUUACCAACCAUGGACCGAGCUG